AGGUAUCACAUGAAGUGUCAUUUACCACAUAAUCAUACAGGAUAACAGCUUCCAGAGUGUUUAUGCUGCUGAACAGUCCACCGCUGCAGAUGCAAAUUGACAGUAAUUAUCUUUUCUUCCCAGGGCGUUUGUCAUUUUAGCAGUGGCGAGUGUGAAGGAACAGAUUACAUUUAUAAUAAUAACAGAUUUUAGGCAGCAAGCGGAGAUGAUUUUUUCCGUCACUUUGAAAACAGUAACAGCAAGACGAGAGUGUUUGUGUGGUCUGUUUUUCAUCCUGACUGAUCAUUUCUCCUGCUGCAGAGCGAUGACACAGCAGAGCUGUGUAUGUGCUCCUGAAACCUGAAUGCUGUCAUCAUGUUUUGGUCAGGAGAAGCACAUAUGGUGGGUCAUGAAGGGCCGGACCCUGCCACAGCAUGAAUUAAGCCAGAGGACAGGAAAGCACACUGAAAAGUUUCCACUGUCAGAGGACUAACAUGGAGAGAUAGACAAUCACAUUUAAGGCAUUAAGUCAAUCCAGUGGCUGGUCCGUCUAUCUUACGUGGGUUUUAAAUCGGAAGAAAACGUAUAAGCCAAAAACUCAGAGACAGAAAUACAAAUGGAAGACACCUCACCACAUUUAUUCUCUUAUUAUGGCGGUCUAAAUGAUGUUUUUACUUCAUCUCCCCUAAAAGAAAUAUAGAUAAAAAUGGAGCCCUAGAUAUCCUUUCCUGUCCUAGCUUGAGCGCCAUUGUCUUCAAAUGAAUGUACUUGUAUGUGUCUCUUGGUCACCGAUAUUUUAGGCAUUUCUACUCAGGCAGAUUUAAAUAUAAAUAAGUGUAACAUAUAAACUUUCAUAGUUCAUUCAGCUGUUUUUUUUUAAACUGUUUUAUCUUUAAUUAAAAUAAGUACUGAAUUCCAGAUUGCUAAUUUCAAUGGGAGUUAAUGGUUGGUUAAGAUGGCACGUGCAUAGGAGUGCAGCCAGUUGAGAAGUUGUGAAUUUGAUAUACGUUAAUGUUAUGUCAAGGUUUUUCUAUGUACUUUCCUUUCGUCCAUUGAAGUCAGUUUGUGGGCAUUACAGCUAUAAUAGUUAUAAAUUUAGUAAUUACUGAAAACUAGUGCAACAGAAAGAAAAAAAAGAUUAAGUUUAGCAACCAUUAACAGAGUUCUCGUAGUUGCCAGUUGUAUUU